AUAAGAGGUGACUAUUGUGAUUGAAAAUAUUUAAAUUCAUUCGACAGCAGGAGCUUGAGCGAAAGAGGUCAUGAGUUUAAAGGCAAUAUUUACAGUUAUUUUCAUAGCAGUCCUAAUUAUGGCUUAUGUUGGGGUAGAAGCAAAGCCUCAAGGUAUAGCGAAGGAUUUCUUUGGUGGUCUAGAAGGAGUAGCCAGUUCUAUUACAUCGGCUAUGGGAUAAAUAGUAAAGUAGGUAUACCCUACAUCGGCUAUGGGAUAAAUAGUAUAUCCUCUACGUUUCACAUGUGAACUUUUUGCUGAAAAAAUUACCCUAACUAUUUAAAAGCUUACACAAUAAAUAAACGAUCAGUGUCUUAUAAUGAAAAUCA
rnacentral:sRNA from 14 species